rnacentral:rRNA from 1 species
UAGGGAAUCUUCCACAAUGGACGCAAGUCUGAUGGAGCAACGCCGCGUGAGUGAAGAAGGUUUUCGGACCGUAAAGCUCUGUUGUUGGUGAAGAAGGAUAGAGGUAGUAACUGGCCUUUAUUUGACGGUAAUCAACCAGAAAGUCACGGCUAACUACGUGCCAGCAGCCGCGGUAAUACGUAGGUGGCAAGCGUUGUCCGGAUUUAUUGGGCGUAAAGCGAGCGCAGGCGGAAGAAUAAGUCUGAUGUGAAAGCCCUCGGCUUAACCGAGGAAUUGCAUCGGAAACUGUUUUCUUGAGUGCAGAAGGGGAGAGUAGAACUCCAUGUGUAGCGGUGGAAUGCGUAGAUAUAUGGAAGAAUACCAGUGGCGAAGGCGGCUCUCUGGUCUGCAACUGACGCUGAGGCUCGAAAGCAUGGGUAGCGAACAGGAUUAGAUACCCUGGUAGUCCAUGCCGUAAACGAUGAGUGCUAAGUGUUGGGAGGCUUCCGCCUCUCAGUGCUGCAGCUAACGCAUUAAGCACUCCGCCUGGGGGAGUACGACCGCAAGGUUGAA